GCUGGCGUUGAGGGUGGCGGCUUCACCCAUGGCACCGCAGUGCCAGCCCCUUGAUGCUGCCUCUGCCACUCCCAGGCCCCUCGGCCAGUGGGGUGAAGUCACAGGAAGAAAGAUCGCAGGCACGGCAAAAGAGGACUUCCCAGAUCCACCUGGCUCACCAGCAGGUCGUCUCAGGAGGUGGCGAGAUGCCCACCACUGGAGGUGUGCAAGGUGAGGCCCCUGACAAAGGGGCUGCUUGCUACAGGAGACUGGAUUCCAUUGUGACAAAAGCUGUGAGGUGGACUUGGGUCAGAGCCUCUGGGGUAGAGCCCCAGCUCCACGGUUUACUCACUGUGUGGCCUUGGGCAAGUAGCUAGGUCUCUCUGUGCUUCCGUUUCUCACGUGCAGAAUGGAGGGGUGUGAGGCUCGCGUGGAAGUGCACAGGGCUGGGAUGUCAUGCUUGCUUGUGUGCCCUCCUGCCUCCUGCCUGCUGGGCUGCCCCCCGCCCCCGCCCGGCUCCCUCUUGGCUCAUCCUCUGCAAGCUGGCCCUCAACACUCAACACAGGUGCACCGUCAGCUGCACGCCAACCCUUCUUGUCCAGGACUCCAUCAGGUCCCGUGGCCUUGAACCCCACCAGCGAUUGCCAAAGGCACCUCCUCAGGUUCAGUUGAAGAGGCCCUGGCACUGGUUCGAGUCCCGGCUGCUCCACUUCUGAUCCAGCUCUCUGCUGUGGCCUGGGAAAGCAGUGGAAGAUGGCCCAAGUGCUUGGGCCCCUGUACCCAUGUGGGAGACCUGGAAGAAGCUUCUGGCUCCUGGCUUUGGAUCAGCACAGCUCUGGCCAUGGAUGGAAUACCUCUCUCUCUGUCUCUCCCUCUCACUGUCUAUAACUCUACUUCUUAAAUAAAUAUUUUUUUUUUAAAAGAGGCCCUGUGAGUAGAAAUGUCACCUGUCACUUGUCACUCAGUGCUGAGAAUGGUGUCUGGGUCAUAAGAGAUAAUUAGGACGCGUUAGUUGAUUGCAUUAAUGAGUUUUAUUUAUUUUUACAAUCCUCCUUGAUGAAUGGAUAGCUGGUGUCAUUGUUUUUCCAUUUUAGCUAGGGAUAUCCAGUUUCCUUUGAAGAAUAAAGCAAGAAGGAUCUGAUAAGAGACUUGUGUCUAGAAUGCGUGAGAACUCAUCUAUAAAAAGAGAAAUACAAUUUAAAAAGUGGGCAAAGGAUUGAACGGACAUUUAUCCAAGUGUGCCCAAAAGCACACGAAGGGGUGUGCAGCAUCCUUGUGGGAGAAACACAAAUCCAACCCGCAGGGAGACACCCGCUGGGACCACAGUGCGUUAUUCCGGCGUU